UGGGGAAUUUUGGACAAUGGGCGAAAGCCUGAUCCAGCAAUGCCGCGUGUGUGAAGAAGGCCUUCGGGUUGUAAAGCACUUUUGUCCGGAAAGAAAUCCUUGGCUCUAAUACAGUCGGGGGAUGACGGUACCGGAAGAAUAAGCACCGGCUAACUACGUGCCAGCAGCCGCGGUAAUACGUAGGGUGCAAGCGUUAAUCGGAAUUACUGGGCGUAAAGCGUGCGCAGGCGGUUUGCUAAGACCGAUGUGAAAUCCCCGGGCUCAACCUGGGAACUGCAUUGGUGACUGGCAGGCUAGAGUAUGGCAGAGGGGGGUAGAAUUCCACGUGUAGCAGUGAAAUGCGUAGAGAUGUGGAGGAAUACCGAUGGCGAAGGCAGCCCCCUGGGCCAAUACUGACGCUCAUGCACGAAAGCGUGGGGAGCAAACAGGAUUAGAUACCCUGGUAGUCCACGCCCUAAACGAUGUCAACUAGUUGUUGGGGAUUCAUUUCCUUAGUAACGUAGAACUAACGCGUGAAGUUGACCGCCUGGGGAGUACGGUCGCAAGAUU
rnacentral:rRNA from 1 species